rnacentral:rRNA from 1 species
GAUGGACGCUGGCGGCGUGCCUAAUACAUGCAAGUCGAGCGAACAGACGAGGAGCUUGCUCCUCUGACGUUAGCGGCGGACGGGUGAGUAACACGUGGAUAACCUACCUAUAAGACUGGGAUAACUUCGGGAAACCGGAGCUAAUACCGGAUAAUAUAUUGAACCGCAUGGUUCAAUAGUGAAAGACGGUUUUGCUGUCACUUAUAGAUGGAUCCGCGCCGCAUUAGCUAGUUGGUAAGGUAACGGCUUACCAAGGCAACGAUGCGUAGCCGACCUGAGAGGGUGAUCGGCCACACUGGAACUGAGACACGGUCCAGACUCCUACGGGAGGCAGCAGUAGGGAAUCUUCCGCAAUGGGCGAAAGCCUGACGGAGCAACGCCGCGUGAGUGAUGAAGGUCUUCGGAUCGUAAAACUCUGUUAUUAGGGAAGAACAAAUGUGUAAGUAACUAUGCACGUCUUGACGGUACCUAAUCAGAAAGCCACGGCUAACUACGUGC